GGGCCACAACUAUUGGGGAGCGCGGCGGACGAAUUCUUGUACUUCAAAUCCUUUCAGAUACAUUGGAAUCACCAUAACCAUGAAUAACCAGAUUCUUCUCAUACUGAUAAUUGAAGUUCUCCAAGGUUGUUGCCAGGUAAAGGUGACUCAGAGUGACCUUCUCCUGAUGGUCCCCACCGGGCAGCCAGUGAACAUGUCCUGUCACCAGGACAGCAAUGACAAUUAUGUGGCACUUUGGUACCAACAGAAACCCAGUCAAGCUCUGCAGAUCGUGGUGUAUUCCACAGACGCUAACAGUGCAGACAUGGAGGCCGGAUACGACAGCUGGACGUUCCAUAGACCUUCUAUUCUGAAGUCUUCUCUGGGGAAAGCUGCAGCCGAGAGCAAGGAUUCUGCCGUGUAUUUCUGUGCUGCUAGUAGACACAGCUACAAACACCUAAGAGACUGGCUGCACAAAACCUAUAGAUAUACUGGAGAGAAACUCAUAUAG